AUCCAGCUGACGAGUCCCAAAUAGGACGAAACGCAAGUCCUAGAU
rfam:Schistosoma mansoni strain Puerto Rico chromosome 1, complete genome